rnacentral:rRNA from 1 species
GACGAACGCUGGCGGCGUGCUUAACACAUGCAAGUCGAACGCUGAAGCUUGGUGCUUGCACUGGGUGGAUGAGUGGCGAACGGGUGAGUAAUACGUGAGUAACCUGCCCUUGACUCUGGGAUAAGCCUGGGAAACUGGGUCUAAUACUGGAUAUGACAUGCCACUGCAUGGUGGUGUGUGGAAAGGGUUUUACUGGUUUUGGAUGGGCUCACGGCCUAUCAGCUUGUUGGUGGGGUAAUGGCCUACCAAGGCGACGACGGGUAGCCGGCCUGAGAGGGUGACCGGCCACACUGGGACUGAGACACGGCCCAGACUCCUACGGGAGGCAGCAGUGGGGAAUAUUGCACAAUGGGCGGAAGCCUGAUGCAGCGACGCCGCGUGAGGGAUGACGGCCUUCGGGUUGUAAACCUCUUUCAGCACGGAAGAGGCGAGAGUGACGGUACGUGCAGAAGAAGCGCCGGCUAACUACGUG